rnacentral:rRNA from 1 species
AGCGAACGCUGGCGGCAUGCUUAACACAUGCAAGUCGCGCGGGAAGCUUCGGCUGCCAGCGGCGGACGGGUGCGGAACGCGGAGGAACGUGUGCGGGUGUGGGGGACAACCCUGGGAGACCGGGGCUGAUACCGCAGAUUGCCACCGGGCCAAAGCCGCAGCGCGCCUCCGGGGCGGCCUUCGUCCGCUUGGGUGGGUGGCGGGGCAACGGCCAACCAAGCCCGGGAUCGGUAGCGGGUCUGAGAGGAGGCUCGGCGGCGCCGGGACGGCGGCACGGCCCAGACUGCUACGGGAGGGAGCAGUGUGUAAUAUUGGGGAAUGGGCGCAAGCCUGACACAGCAAUGCCGCGUGGAUGAAGAAGGGCUUCGGAUUGUAAAGCCCUUUCGGCGGGGACGAUGGUGACGGUACCCGCAGAAGAAGCCCCGGCUAACUUCGUG